AUUACUACUUGAGGCGUUGCAGUCCGACUAAGUGUCGAGCCUGUGUCAUGAGGGGCAGCGCGUGACAGGGCUAUGUCUACGCCGAGGACAGUGGGCACUUGGAGUGAUUUGAUAGCACUUACAAA